rnacentral:lncRNA from 1 species
UAUCGAGCAUAGGUCGCUGUAGGCCAUAUGGGUUGGUUGUCCUCUUAACCAAGGAGUGUGGAGACACUGGUAUGGCAUACAGGUAAGAUGUAAGGGUACAUCAUCAUUGAACGUGACCAACUCCAGAGCAUUCUGCUGUCGAGAAUAUCUCUGAUGGGAUAUAGGUAUAAGUGUCCCUUAGACCUGAGAUCGCCUCAGUGACUUGCAAGCAACUCACUGUGCUUUGGUACUGGACUAACUGAAUUUCUAAUUUAGGGAUGGAAGGCUUCUGGGCACAGUCAAGUACUUGCAAAGUCAGAGUGUGAUCGAGAUGGGAUUGACCACUCCAAGAGUUGGAGAAGAAUG